ACUGGUUUUUGUUGUAAAUAACAAUACGUUUUUUAUACAUGGAUUGUUGUCUAGAAACUAAUAUACACUGUUUAUAAACAGUACCUUAAUAUAAAAUCGUACUCUUUUUAAACUGGCCUAUAUAGGCAUACUGUGAUAUCAGUUAGACCAGCAGUAGAGAGUGCACUGUAUCCUAUCCUAUGACAAAACGAUCAGGAUACCAUCCCUUGAAGAGAUACCAAUUGUGAGAGUUGCUUGACUACAGCCCAAGAAAUUGAGAGCAGAAGAAAGACACAGCAGAGUCCAGACAGGAUGUUAUUGAGAAGCUAGUCGGUGGUGCUGUGUGUGGAACCGCUCCUUUCCACAAAAAUUGUCAACUUUCCAAAGAAAAUAUGAAAACGUCCUGCAAGCACCUAUUAGGUAAUAAUGUGAAUUUGUGUUCCGUAUCUUGAAUAAUAUUUCCUACAAAUGGACGUUUAUAAUGUUAUUGGGCAAUGUGUGACAACUCUUCAGAUGUGCACAAUGAGGAGUUCCGUACAGGCAGAGUUGCAAAGAAAAAGCCAUAUCUCAGACUGGCCAAUAAAAAGAAAAUAUUAAGAUGGGCAAAAGAACACAGACACUGGACAGAGGAACUCUGCCUAGAAGGCCAGCAUCCCGGAGUCGCCUCUUCACUGUUGACAUUGAGACUGGUGUUUUGCGGGAACUAUUUAAUGAAGCUGCCAGUUGAGGACUUCUGAGGCGUCUGUUUCUCAAGCUAGACAAUCUAAUGUACUUGUUCUCUUGCUCAGUUGUGCCCCGGGGCCUCCCACUCUUUCUCUUCUGGUUAGAGCCAGUUUGCGCUGUUCUGUGACGGGAGUAGUACACGGCAUUGUACGAGUUUCAGAAGAAAGUACUUUGUUUCUGGCUAUUUUGAGCCUGUAAUCGAACCCAUAAAUGCUGAUGCUCCAGAUACUCAACUAGUCUAAAGAAAACCAGUUUCAUUGCUUCUUUAAUCAGAACAACAGUUUUCAGCUGUGCUAACAUAAUUGCAAAAGGGU